CCCUCUGUACAUGCAUGUAGGAGGACUAUGUACAGAGAAUAGGUGGUGCUGCCCCUCUGUACAUGCAUGUAGGAGGACUAUGUACAGAGAAUAGGUGGUGCUGCCCCUCUGUACAUGCAUGUAGGAGGACUAUGUACAGAGAAUAGGUGGUGCUGCCCCUCUGUACAUGCAUGUAGGAGGACUAUGUACAGAGAAUAGGUGGUGCUGCCCCUCUGUACAUGCAUGUAGGAGGACUAUGUACAGAGAAUAGGUGGUGCU